CCUACGGGUGGCAGCAGUGAGGAAUAUUGGUCAAUGGCCGGAAGGCUGAACCAGCCAAGCCGCGUGAGGGAGGAAGGCGCAGAGCGUCGCAGACCUCUUUUGCCGGGGGACAAAAGGCCGGACUCGUCCGGUCCUGAGGGUACCCGGAGAAAAAGCAUCGGUAAACUCCGUGCCAGCAGCCGGGGUAAUCCGGAGGAUGCGAGCGUUUCCCGGAUUCAUUGGGUUAAAGGGGUGGGCAGGCGGGCCUUUAAGCCGGCGGUGAAAUCCCGGGGCUCAACCCCGCCGAGCCGUCGGAACUGGGAGCCUUGAGUGCGCCGGAGGCAUGCGGAAUGCGCGGUGUAGCGGUGAAAUGCAUAGAUAUCGCGCAGAACCCCGAUUGCGAAGGCAGCGUGCCGUGCCGCCACUGACGCUGAGGCACGAAAGCGCGGGGAUCGAACAGGAUUAGAUACCCGGGUAGUC
rnacentral:rRNA from 1 species